CUCAGGACAGGAGCAGCCCUCAGACAGGACAGGAGCAACCUCAGAGCUGGCAGGAGCAGCCCUCACACGGGACAGGAGCAGCGAUCCGCCGUCCCAAACCCGCGCUCCCUUGAGCUGCUCUCCUGGUCUGCCCCCGUGCUAACAGGCCCCUGCCUAAAGGUACUGAACUACAGCUCCAAACACCUGCAGCAAACUCUCCGUUUCCUUCCCUUUUUGUGAGACAGUGAGAUCCAGUACCUUCUGUGUCUUCAGCUGGCACAAAGCUUGAACAAGAAUCCUGGAAUGUUCACUUACAUGUGAACCAAAGCCAGGACUGCAUCCUUGGAAUGGGGAAGGUGAGAUCCAGGCAGGAGAACUGCAGAGUGGAGAGCACAUGGACAAGCAAGCUGGCCCAGCCAAGAGCCAUCUGAUGUUUCCCUCUGUGGGAUGUGAAAUAGAAAACACUGGUGUACCUUUAUUGUGGAAUUUCUCAGAGCUGCCUUGUAACCAUCCCCUCUACCCCUGAAGUUUCACGGGCCUUAUUCCAUUUCACUGGCAGCACACGGAGGAGCAGGAUGCACCUGCAGUCCUGGAGCACAUGAUACUUCCUUGAGCUGAAGGUUCCAAGCUGGCACAGUUCCCAGAGAACACUUCCCAUAACAACUGGCUGUUGUUUUCCAGCUCCCUUUACGAGCAGCCAGAGAUUCCCCAACACAUCCAGAAAUGCUACUCUGGAGUAACCUGAAACAAUUUGUACACUGAGAUGGUGGGGAGGGGGAAAUUGUCUGCAUAUUCUAGAAAUUAAUAAAGAAAUUGAAGUGAAAAAUAUUCAAAAUGUAUGAAUAAACCCUUUCAGUAAAUGAAA